rnacentral:rRNA from 1 species
AAACCGGCAAACAACAUCAUCAAGCAUGACAGAGUCAAAGAGUCGGGCUGUUUGGGAAUGCAGUCUAAAGUGGGUGGUAAACUCCAUCUAAGACUAAAUAUAACUCCGGGACCGAUAGCGAACAAGUACCGUGAGGGAAAGUUGAAAAGCACUCAGAAAUGAAAGUGAAAAGGGCGUGAAACCGUUAAUGGGGAAGCGAACGAUGGAAUCAAAGUGACUUGCUGUGGGUGUGCGUCAUCCUCACAAGGAUACGUAACAGGUAGCAGCAAGUUACNCGCCGGACUCACUGUUUAAAGGGGCUGGCACCCAAUACAGUUGUAGAUAUAGAGUUUUUCAUGAGAUUUUCUCCGAUUUACAAUGUAUUGGUGUUGUUGUAGAGUCUCAAAAUAGUGUUUGAUGUGUGAUGCCCUGUUGAAUGACACAUGUGUGUGUGUGGUCACAUGGUAAUUUUGUGUCGGGUCGGGAAUACCUGGCCCGGCAAAGGUUGUUGUUAGGCCAUGCACAUGCAUGUGCUAUUCAGUAGAGCGCUUCAACAGAAGCACACGUAAUUCCGGCGAGAUAUGCUAUUGUUCGACCCGUCCUUGAAACACGGACCAAGGAGGCUAACGUAUGCGCGAGUCCGAGGAGUUGAGAAACUCUUGGGCGCAACGAAAGUGAAAUGUGAGAUCCCCUCCGGUGCAAACCGGGGGCGCACCACAGACCAGUUGGAAGAUUGACUACAAUUGAGUUGUAGCGUAUACGAUAGGACCCGAAAGAUGGUGAUCCUAUGCUUGAGUAGGCUGAAUUCAUUGGAAACAAUGAUGGAAGGCCAUAGCGGUUCUGACGUGCAAAUCGAUCGUAAAACUUGAGUAUAGGGGCGAAAGACCAAUCGAACCAUCUAGUAGCUGGUUCCCUCCGAAAUAUCCCUCAGGAUCGCCGGAGUCCGUCUAGGCACAGUUUCAUCGGGUAGAGCGAAUGAUUAGAGGUGUAAGGGUCGUUUCUGGCCUUUAACUAUUCUCAAACUGCAAACCGGUGAUACAGUGAGCCGUUUCUUGAGUGAACGUGCACACUAGAAUGUGAGGACUCUGAGUGGGCCACUUUUGGUAAGCAGAACUGGCGAUGCGGGAUGAACCGAGAGUCAGGUUAAGGUGCUCAAGUGAAGGCUAAUGGACACCACAAAAGGAGUUGAUAAAUGAUAACAGUGAGGCGGUUGCCCUGGAAGUAGGAAUCCGCUAAGAAACGUGUAACAACGUACUUACCGAAUUUAUCGGCCCUGAAAAUGGAUAGCGCUCAGCCUUACACCGAUACCUGACCGUAGACGCGAGAAAUGACGUCUAUGGGUAGGAGGGUGUUGUGGUCG